UACCAGCACCCCGAGUGGUCGGGACGAUUAUUGGGCCUAAAGCAUCCGUAGCCGGUUCUACAAGUCUUCCGUUAAAUCCACCUGCUUAACAGAUGGGCUGCGGAGGAUACUAUAGAGCUAGGAGGCGGGAGAGGCAAGCGGUACUUAGUGGGUAGGGGUAAAAUCCGUUGAUCCAUUGAAGACCACCAGUGGCGAAGGCGGCUUGCCAGAACGCACUCGACGGUGAGGGAUGAAAGCUGGGAGAGCAAACCGG
rnacentral:rRNA from 1 species